ACUUUGUGGUUAGGACAUUGCACAAGAUUUUCAUUAAAUCUCUCCCAAACUUCAUAGAAGGGCUCUCCAUUGAGCUAACAAAAAUUUGUGAUUUUGUCUCGCAAUU
rfam:Capsicum annuum cultivar Zunla-1 chromosome 12, whole genome shotgun sequence